GCCGGGGAGACCGAGUGGCUAGGCGGCGGACUGCAGAGCAGCUAACGCUGGUUCAAAUCCGGCCCCCCGGCU
rnacentral:tRNA from 2 species